ACACUUCCGAAGGACCCAAUCGGGCUCUUUAACCGGAUUCGAGCGGUUGGGGGGCUGCGAGCCGACUCGUACUAGUUCCCUUUUGUGCUGAAGGCCGUGAUUCGGUUAUCAACGGUUGAAACUAGGGAGCAAAUCCACUGCAUAGUGUUGUGAUCGGGUUGGACUCGAAUGUUAACGUGGUUACAGUCUUGAUUCAGAUGUACUCGUUUUACGGAUUGUUUUGCAUGCACGGAAGCUGUUUGAUGGAGUGAGUACAAGAGGUGUGGUGUUUUGGAAUGCCAAGGUUGGUGACAUGGACAGUGCCCGAGAGUUGUUCUAGCGAAUGCCAGAGAGGAAUGUGAUUUGGGGAUCUCUUCUUGAUGCUCCUAACGUUCAUGGAGAUGCUGAUCUUGGACCAACUGCUCUACGGCAUCUAAUAAAGUUGGAGCCUGAUCUUAGUGCAAACUUAGCACUUUUAUCCAAGAUAUAUGCUGCUGAUGGCCGGUGGAAUGAUUCUACAAUGGUGAGGAAGAUGAUUUGGGACACUGGUGUUCAAAAGAUGCCAGAUGCCAGGAGGUAGUUUCAUUGAGGUGAACGAGAUAGUUCAUGAUUUUGUUGCCGGAGAUUCAUUGCAUCCCGAGUUCGAUAGGAUACAUGAGGUUCUACACACGAUCGAGGAGCAAUUGGAAUGUUGCUUACUAUUUGCGAAAGAAAUGCUUUAGGCUGGACGAGUUGACGAGGGAUAGGGGGAAAUCCUAUCUGGUUCUUGCCUGGGAACAUGUAAUAUUAUUCCAGCUUUUUGUACUACAAUGAGCAGCUUUGCUCAUAUCAUCCCAUUAACGAGAAAAUUAACUGACUUGGCACGAUGAGAAGGUGGCUUUCUCCUUUUUGUACUGAAUUGGUCUCUACCUUCGGAAGUUUGGUGAUGUAGCCCAUUUUUUCUUCUGCUUGAGACAGUUGGCCUCAUAAAUCUAGGCAUCCCUGAUGAAGGAGCUGUUGCAGCUGCUCCAAUAUUGUUUAUGAUUCACCAGCGCAACCUGCUUCUGCUCUCGUACUUCCUGAUGAUCAAUAGUUCCCUAAGAUUAUUAUUACUAUAAGAAUGCAGACAUAAAUUUCUAAUGAGGAUGAAGAUUUUCACAUCAGUUGAUGUGAUAAUGUCCUGAGACGGAAAUCUUAGCAAGCAAACUAACAAAGGUAAUGCUAAACUAUGUACGCUCAAAGGCUGCACUCUUGAGGUCUCAUAAUUGUAAAGGGAGCAUCAAAGCAAGUGAUUGAUAGGCGAAUCAUGCUGAGGAGCAAUGACAAAAAGCAGAAACUCAGAAAUGUUUAUCACCACUUCAUUUAGCAGUUUCUGAAGCUAAUAUGCAUUUGUAGUAUAUGACUAAAAAGAUCCAGCAACAUGUAAACUGCAGACUUACCAUGGUGGCAUAGGAUCAGUUGGUUUAAUUGGCUGAGAAACGAGCAAGUCUUUCAGAUUUCCCAGGGUCUUGAUCAACACCAUGGUUAUGCGAGAGAGUUCUCUCCGAAUCUGCUGGGAUUGAUCUUUUGGAUGAUGCUUCAGAGGGGAAUGAAUUGUUCCGGCUAGGUUUCGAAUGGAUCUUUGUGAAUCUGUGGCCAUACUUUUGAGCAAGGUUUGCCUGGAUCUGUGAAGGAUGAACAUGAGAUGGCACUGGAAACUCAACCCAUGAAAAGAAAAGAAAAAUAACAUCAGCACUGAAUAGAAAAGAAGUACCAGAAUUCUUUGUUGCAAAGUUUGGCUGAAGUCUAAGCGCUUCAAGGCUCCUCCAAAGCUAAUGUGGGAUCUCUGAACAUAGGAAUACCCUGAAGACCAAGACUAGUCAACAAUACUGCUUCAAAGGUUUCAGAAAUUUUGAGGUCCAAAAAGGACUGAUCCACCAAGGAGGUUGGAGAAGAAGCAUCUUCAAGUUGUACAAGCAUGUAGGGAAAGACUCGCUGAGUUUACUCAGUUAGAACUUAGAAUGCUGACUUGGUUGGUCAAGUGCAUGAUAAUCAUGAUGGUUCAAAUAUUCUCAAGGUCAAGUCUACACUUAAAUUAUCACCACAAUUCGAUUUUAUAUAAUCUAAAUUUAACUUGUACAAUAUAAUUAGAAAACUUAAGAAAGAAAAAAACCAAAAUUAUUUGAUUCAAUUGAAACUAUAUACGUAUGAUUAUUUUUUUCUUCUAGUUUUUGGUUCUGGUUUCUGGGAGGCCAAACAAAGUAUAAGAAAACAACAAGUAGUAAUCAAAUAAAACAUCAACAAUCACAUACAAACACAGGUUCUUCCUCCCUCCCUCUCUCUCAGAAACUCACUCUCUUUUUUGUUUCAGCCAAAUGGAAUGGGAGAGGGGAGCUAGAGAACGGUUUGUUUAUGGAGCUAAAAGGCGCGGAUGAAACGCUUGCAACGGUCGAAUUUUGUUUCAAUUCUGAGUUGUCAGAUUUUGGGAUUUUUUUGACGUUAGAACGGUGGGCUUGGGCUUGGGCUUGAUGGCCGUAAUGGUUUGGGCCAGUUGCGGUUUUAGCUGGGUCGAGGGGCCCAAGUGCUUCAUGAAGAACAUUUUGGGGUACAUAACAUUCUGAGAGUCUAAAAUAGAAAGUUAUUAUACUCAUAUGGACAAAAAAUAGGCAUUAUAUCUAGUUUCUUUGAUAAAAAUAAAAUUGAUUAAUGUUUUAUUAAUUAGCAAAAAAUAUUAUAAAAACUCUAGAGAAAACAUUCUUUAUUAGCAUUUUUUAUGCACAAUCUGAAAGAUUAUUAAAGAAUUUUAGAGGCAUCGUUGUAUAUACUCAUCUCAUCAACAAAUCAACCAUUAUCGUUGCUAUUUCCUCAGGCACAGUUGUAAUAUUUUGUUCCUUCAAGCACCUUUAAAUAUAAGAGUAUGAA